rnacentral:rRNA from 1 species
GACGAACGCUGGCGGCGUGCUUAACACAUGCAAGCCGAACGGAAAGGCCCUGCUUUUGUGGGGUGCUCGAGUGGCGAACGGGUGAGUAACACGUGAGUAACCUGCCCUUUACUUUGGGAUAACUUCAGGAAACUGGGGCUAAUACCGGAUAGGAGCUCCUGCUGCAUGGUGGGGGUUGGAAAGUUUCGGCGGUUGGGGAUGGACUCGCGGCUUAUCAGCUUGUUGGUGGGGUAGUGGCUUACCAAGGCUUUGACGGGUAGCCGGCCUGAGAGGGUGACCGGCCACAUUGGGACUGAGAUACGGCCCAGACUCCUACGGGAGGCAGCAGUGGGGAAUAGUGCACAAUGGGCGGAAGCCUGAUGCAGCAACGCCGCGUGCGGGAUGACGGCCUUCGGGUUGUAACCCGCUUUCGCCUGUGACGAAGCGUGAGUGACGGUAAUGGGUAAAGAAGCACCGGCUAACUACGUG